AUGACGAGCCUUUGGAGUCUGUGGGGAGAGUGGGAGAUCCGGGUGCUACUCCUCGGCAGCCUCUCCCUGCAGGUGUUCCUCCUCUUCACCGGCGGCCUCCGCAAGCGCAUCGUCGCGUCCUGGCUGCACUUCCUGCUCUGGCUCGCCUACCUCCUCGCCGAUUCCAUCGCCAUCUACACGCUCGGCUCCCUAUCUCGGAGCCAGAAGCUAUGCCACCACACCGACGGGGAGGACGGCUUGCACCUCCUCCUUUUGUGGGCGCCCUUUCUCAUCCUCCACCUCGGCGGCCAGGACACCAUCACCGCCUUCGCCAUCGAGGACAACGAGCUCUGGCUCCGCCACCUCCUCAGCCUCGUCACCCAGGUCGGCCUCGCGCUGUACGUCUACUGGAAGUCGUGCCCUUCCGCCGCGAGCCUCGUCGCUCCGGCCGUCGUCAUGUUCGCCUCUGGCGUCCUCAAGUAUGCCCAGCGCACCUGGGCGCUCAAAUCGGCCAGCAUGAGCAGCCUCCGCAGCUCCAUGCUCACACGCCCAGACCCAGGACCCAACUACGCGCAGCUCAUGGAGGAGUACCACUCCAGCAAGGAUGCCGGCCUGCGCGCCGAGAUCGUCAUCGUCCCCGAGCGGCUGCCCGUAGACGACGUCCACGUCCCGGAGGAGCCGAUGGAGUACGACGAGCUUGUCAUCAAGGCGCACAUGUUCUUCCACACCUUCCGCCGCCUUUUCGUCGACCUCAUCCUCAGCUUCCAGGACCGCACCGACAGCCUCACCUUCUUCCGCCGCCUGAAGCGCGACCAGGCCUACAAGGUCGUCGAGAUCGAGCUCCAGCUCAUGUACGAGUCGCUCCACUCCAAGUCGCCCGUCAUACACUGCCCCUCCGGCCGCUACCUCCGCGUUUUCACCCUGGCCGCGCCCAUCCUGUCGCUCCUCGUCUUCUCCAAGGCCGGCAAGGGACGCUACAAGGAGGCCGACGUUGCCGUCACUUACGUCCUCCUUGUUGGUGCCAUUUUCUUGGAGAUUUACGGCAUCAUCCUGAUGGCCAUCUCCUCCUGGAGCUACGCCGACCUGCGGAAGUUGCGCAAAUGCCUCCCGGCGGCGAGCAGAGUGGUCUUCCAGGCCGUCAAGUAUUUCAUGCCGGAGGCGAGGCCACGGUGGUCGAACCAGAUGGCCCAGUACAAUCUCCUCAGCUACUGCCUCAAGGACAAGUCCACAUGGUUGACGAGAGUGCUGGAGAGUCUCGAGUGGGAUUACAACAUCCGCGUCAAGACAGCGUGGGACAGCUUAUGGUACACGAAGCACAUCGGCGUGUCCCUGGUGCUCAAGCAGCUCAUCUUCAAGCAGCUCAAAGACAAGGCGAACAGCACGAUGGAUCCAAUGAGCUACCGGCGGUUCGGGGAUCACCGCGGGCAGUGGAUUCUGCAGCGCAAGGGGUGCUACCAGGAGCUCCGGUGGAGCGUCGAUGAGGUCGAGUUCGACGAGAGCAUCCUCCUCUGGCACAUCGCGACCGACCUCUGCUUCUACGACGACGAUAACCAAACGUCCUCAGAUCUUGCCCCCACCGGCGCCGGCAGGUUCGCGGACGAGGGCGACAUAAACAGCGGGUCCAGGUUGCCGGCGGCGAGCAGGGAGAUGGCAAAUUACAUGCUGUUCCUGCUGGUGAUGCGGCCGUUCAUGCUGACGGCGAGCAUUGGGCAGAUCCGGUUCGGCGACACCUGCGCGGAGGCCAAGAACUUCUUGGUGCGGCUGCGGGGAGGCGAGGCACGGGCGAAGGAGCGGCAGGGCGCGAGCGCGCUGGCGGCAGUGAAGGCGGAUAUCGACCCGCGGAAGGUGAAGGGGGACCGGAGCAAGUCGGUGCUGUUCGACGCGUGCCGGCUGGCAGGGCAGCUGCGCGGGAUGGAGGUUAGGAAGCGGUGGAGGCUGGUGGCCGGGGUGUGGGUGGAGAUGAUGUGCUACGCGGCGGGCAAGUGCAGGGGCAACUUCCACGCCAAGCAGCUCAGCCAGGGCGGGGAGCUGCUCACGGUGCUGUGGCUGCUUAUGGCGCACUUCGGCAUUGGUGACCAGUACAGGGUCGAGGCCGGCCAUGCCAGGGCCAAGCUCAUCGUACACAACUAG
rnacentral:rRNA from 1 species